GAUGAACGCUGGCGGCGUGCCUAAUACAUGCAAGUCGAGCGAACAGACGAGGAGCUUGCUCCUCUGACGUUAGCGGCGGACGGGUGAGUAACACGUGGAUAACCUACCUAUAAGACUGGGAUAACUUCGGGAAACCGGAGCUAAUACCGGAUAAUAUCUUGAACCGCAUGGUUCAAUAGUGAAAGACGGUUUUGCUGUCACUUAUAGAUGGAUCCGCGCCGCAUUAGCUAGUUGGUAAGGUAACGGCUUACCAAGGCAACGAUGCGUAGCCGACCUGAGAGGGGGGUCGGCCACACUGGAACGUAGACACGGUCAAGACUCCUACGGUAGGCAGCAGUAUGGAAUCUGCCGCAAUGGGCGAAAGCCUGACGGAGCAACGCCGCGUGAGUGAUGAAGGUCUUCGGAUCGUAAAACUCUGUUAUUAGGGAAGAACAAAUGUGUAAGUAACUAUGCACGUCUUGACGGUACCUAAUCAGAAAGCCACGGCUAACUACGUG
rnacentral:rRNA from 1 species